GGUUGACCUCGGAUCAGGUAGGGAUACCCGCUGAACUUAAGCAUAUCAAUAAGCGGAGGAAAAGAAACCAACAGGGAUUGCCCCAGUAACGGCGAGUGAAGCGGCAAGAGCUCAAAUUUGAAAGCUGGCUCCUUCGGGGUCCGCAUUGUAAUUUGCAGAGGAUGCUUCGGGAGCGGUCCCCAUCUAAGUGCCCUGGAACGGGACGUCAUAGAGGGUGAGAAUCCCGUAUGGGAUGGGGUGUCCGCGCCCGUGUGAAGCUCCUUCGACGAGUCGAGUUGUUUGGGAAUGCAGCUCUAAAUGGGUGGUAAAUUUCAUCUAAAGCUAAAUAUUGGCCGGAGACCGAUAGCGCACAAGUAGAGUGAUCGAAAGAUGAAAAGCACUUUGAAAAGAGAGUUAAAAAGCACGUGAAAUUGUUGAAAGGGAAGCGCUUGCGACCAGACUCGCUCGCGGGGUUCAGCCGGCAUUCGUGCCGGUGUACUUCCCCGCGAGCGGGCCAGCGUCGGUUUGGGCGGUCGGUCAAAGGCCUCUGGAAGGUAACGCCCCCUCGGGGGCGUCUUAUAGCCAGGGGUGCAAUGCGGCCUGCCCGGACCGAGGAACGCGCUUCGGCUCGGACGCUGGCAUAAUGGUCGUAAGCGACC
rnacentral:rRNA from 1 species